AGCGAACGCUGGCGGCAGGCCUAACACAUGCAAGUCGAACGGAACCUUCGGGAUUAGUGGCGGACGGGUGAGUAACAAGUGGGAACGAGCACGUUGGUUCGGUACAACUCAGGGAAACAUGAGCUAAUACAGGAUGUGCUCAUAGGGGGAAAGAUUUAUCGCCAUUGGAGCGGGCCGCGUCAGAUUAGGUGGUUGGUGAGGUAAUGGCCGACCAAGGCGACGUUGAGUGGCUGGUGUGAUAGGAUGCCCUGCAACGCUGGGGCUGCGGCACGGCCCAGACUCCUACGCGACGCUGCAGUAUAGUGUCUUGCGCGCUGAGCGAAGACCUAACGCCGCCGUGCCGCGUGAAUGGUGAAGCUCUUAGUAUAGCAAUUUUCUUUCAGCGGAGACGUUAGUGACGGUACCCGCUAAAGAAGCACCGGCUAACUUCGUG
rnacentral:rRNA from 1 species